rnacentral:rRNA from 1 species
GACGAACGCUGGCGGCGUGGAUUAGGCAUGCAAGUCGAACGGUAUCAUCCUUUCGGGGGUGAGAGAGUGGCGAACUGGUGAGUAACACGUAGGUUAUCUACCCUCAAGACGGGGACAACCCAGGGAAACUUGGGCUAAUACCGGAUGUGAGCAACUUUUAGUUGUUUGAAAGGUGGCGUAAGCUGUCGCUUGGGGAUGAGCCUGCGUCCUAUUAGUUAGUUGGUGAGGUAACGGCUCACCUAGGCAAUGAUAGGUAGGCGGCCUUAACGGGUGGUCGCCCACACUGGGAUUGAGAUACGGCCCAGACUCCUACGGGAGGCAGCAGUCGAGAAUAGUCUACAAUGGUCGGAAGACUGAUAGUGCGACGCCGCGUGAACGAUGAAUCCCUUCGGGGUGUAAAGUUCUUUUAUAUGUGAGCAGUGCUUCUUAUAUUAACAGUAUGGGGAGAGAGAUAUUAGCAUAUGAAUAAGCAACGGCUAAACUCCGUGCCCAGCAAGCGCGGU